rnacentral:lncRNA from 1 species
CAAACUUAUUCUUUGUCCAUUCCCUUUAUUGUGUUGUGAACUUUUUGAUGUUUGCUUUUAUGUGAUAGGGAUCCCACCUUGAGAGCCAUGGGUAGCCAAGUUAAGAGUCAAGCCAAAUGGAGAUCCUAGGAGCUUGAAUUCAAUUGUGUGAUUACUUGUUUGUGUUCUAAGUCCAAAGGAAAGGAGCAUCUCGAAUCAUCUCUAUGAUUCCAAGAAAAGGAACUCCAAGGGUUUUGUCUUUCCCCUCUUAUCUUUGUAUACUUUAGGAAUAGCUCUUAUCUUCUUCUCUUCACUCUA